UGACAUUUGAUUGAUGUCAGUUUCCGGUUUCACAUCAGCAUCACAAGUGCCUGUUUAUUUAAUAUUUAGAUAAAUUAUAUUAUUCUUGCCAAAGAAAGAGUAUAAAAUUCACUAUGUUGUAAUUAUUUCAUUGAAUGAAAACCAAUAAACGAGUGCGUGCGUGUAUUGGCGCAUGUGCAAUUCGCAUGCAAGUGCAUUGUGUAGCACCGCACAGCCGGAAAAUUGUGCAGUACGAGGUGAUCGAUCAAUAAUGCUAUUAGUUAGCUUGGUAGUAUUAUUUUUAUUUGGUAAAAAUUGAAAAUGCAAGAUCUUGCAGAGUUGAUUGAUUUUGUGAAACAUCAAGAAAGAUACAAGAUGAAAUCCGUUCCCCCCGGAACUUGUAUAAUGGUUUUAAUGAUAUUACGAUUCUAUACGACUAAGCUACCGGCAGUGUUCAGGUUCUCAUCAAACAAUGGCAUACGUAGAUUGCCCUAAAAUUUGUAAUCUGGAUACAAAUGUAAUUUAUGUGCAGGCUAGCACCUAAAUGUGACCUCACAAUGUGAAGGAGCAGGUCUUGUUCUGUAUCUACCAUCUUUAAGAUAAUAUGAAAGGCUGAAAAAAAAUACAGAUCAGGAUCACAUGUUGAAGCCGGGGAACAGUUUCAACUAGAAUAUCACAUAAUAUGUUGAAACAAAAUUUUAAAGAAAAUAGCACAUUUCCUAAUUGUGAUUGACUGCAUCAGCUAUACACAUGUAAAAUUUAAAAAUCCUGGUGGUGAUUAGUCCGAGCAAUACAAGAGCCCAAUGGGAGGGCACUUUUUCAAUGUUCAAGCAGUCACAGGUCCUACAUCUUAGAUACUUUUUGUGAAAAUUCAGAAAUCAUAGUACACUGAUUUAAUUUUUAAUACCAAGUACACAACUGUUAAUAGGUUGUAUAGAAUGGUGGUAAAACAGAUUAAAAAACGGAAACCCAUAAAAAUAUGGAAUGGAAAGAAGGCUAAAAAGGAAGGGGUGACAGAACAACAUAAACAUGCACUCUUUCUCAAUUGGGAUUCCCUAAUUCCAAUUAAAGUUAUUUUAUGAACAAAAUUUUAAAAAAUCAUUAUUUGAUUUUUUAAAUUUUGUUUUAGUUUUGAUUUUAUUAACACAGCUAGAGUCCGGGCCGCGAAAAUACCGCCGACGCGGCGCAGCAGUCGAUGACGAUAGUGUAAGUAAUAUAUAAUAUAUACUAUUACGACGACAACAACGUGCCCGAUAGAUUGACAGUUUACAUUUUGCCGCGGGCUUUCUUUCGUGGCGCGGACUUGACAUAAAAAAAUUUAAAUGUGCUUUGUUUGUUCUUUUUUUAUACAUUUGUAUCAAAUGCGUCUACAUCAUGUUGUGGAAAUUAUCCAAAUGUUAUAUGUUCGGAACGUCCGCUGUACAGUUGACAUCAGAUCUAUUUCAGGAAAGUUUUCUGGUAAAACUACUAUUUUGUUGAGCGUGGUUAAAUUAUGCAUCGCGUCUACGCGAUCUUCUUAUUAGUCUCAUAAAUUCUCCAAUGAGAGAGCCAUAUGAAGUUGUCUAAAAGCGCAUAUGAACGGCAAAUCAUGCGAGCUUGUCGAUCGACCAUGAGAUUCGUGAGUUGGCCCCUUUAUAUCGAGGAUGGCUUCCGAAUAAAGAUCGACAAUAAUAAUAAAUCUUUAUGGGCGUACCUAAAUUGUACUACUUGGGAAAGUAUAACAAAAUGCUCCAUGUCACGUUGUGGAAAUUAUCCCUAUGUAUAUGUACAUUUAAUUGUAAAAUGACAGGCUGAGGGCAGCCUUUCAACGCAAACAAAAAUGUAAGUUUGAUCGUAAUAAUCAAGCGCCCUUUUUUGUCCGACGCCCUGGGCAGUCACUAAACUGGCCCCUAACUAACGCCGGAACCCUACUGAGAAUGCAAACAAUGGAUUCUCCGCUGAUUUUGAUCAUGGGAGUCAUUACUGGUAAAUUCAGGAGUCAUCAUUAGUAAAGUCAUUACAUCAGCGCUCAGUGCAAGAAAGGAGUUUUCCCGUGUGAUGUAUCGAAUCCUGGGAACCGAUUGGUGGACGUGGACGGUCUAGUCGGUAAUGCAGAUAAUCAGAUCUUUCCACAACGAAAUGUCAACAAAAAAAAAAUAAACCGCUCUUAGAGUCCACUCAAAACAAAAGGAUGUUUUCAGCGCCACAAAACCAAUUUCACCUCACACCUCUACUAGCCUAGCCAGUACCUAGUCCCUAGUCUAGCCCUUACUACCAUCUCUAAUAACAUAGCAGCAUGCCUUUAUCAACAAACCAGGUGCUUUGGUUUGGUUUGCAAUGAAAGCCAUGUGCAAUUCAGCCGCAAAUAAAUAUUUAUCUAUUGCUAUCUAAAUUUAUUCCUAUGUUAUAUGGGAGAAUAUGAUUCACGCCUUUUUGAAAAAAAAAGCCUAAGUAUAGCUCUGUACACUGUAAUGAGUUUGGACUUUGAAGAUGACUUGUUUCCAGUGCAGGUUUUUAACAUUCAUUUCCUAAUUCUCUCAUACCUAUUGAGAGCCUUGUGUUUCAAAUGUAGAUAUUAAUAGCAAAACAGGGGAGUUUAUUGAUAUCGAUCGAAUAAUCGAAUGGUUUUGGUGAUAAAUAGGUAAUACAAAUUUGAAAUCCUAAGGUACUUGUCGACGUUGGAAAUUGUACUUUGGUGUAUUAAAAUGUUCCACGUCACGAUAUGAAUAUUAUCCCUAUGUAACUAAUGUGGCAGAGGGUAUAGAAAGUUGAAGUCUGCCGUUGCCAUUUAUACCGAAGCGUAUAUAGCGUAUACGUGCGAGCGUAUGUUGAAGGGUUUUAUCGUUAAUAAAUAAGAAGGGUAACACCCAAAUCUUGUUUUGCGUUUCCUUUAGUACUUACCUGUCUUGGGUGACAAGAGAUCGGAUAUGCUUGCGGCGCCCCUUUGCAUCUGAAACCCUGGGGGUUCGCCCAAUUCGAUGCGGAUUUGUUUGCAAGUCAGGCAGUCAUUUAUCAAACAAAUCCAAGUACCUAUACCUUGCUGUAGAAAUUAUCCCUAUGUGAUAUGGUAAAAAAUUACCGCACGCAACCCUCACGAGAUUUGUUUGACUGAAUACAACAGUUUUGUCUGUCAAUUGCGUUUUUAGCAAGUUAAAAGGUGUACGAGACUCGUUUCCCGUCGAAAAAUGUAUUAGUUACAUGUCGCUUUGUGGAAAUUGUUCCUAUAUGAUGUUCUAGAGGGCACACAUGAUACAAGCUGAAAUUAACAAGCUGCCUUUGUGUUAAUAUACAUAUAGGUAUCUAAUCUACAUAAGUAGGCGCGUACGGUCCCGACUGAGUUACGUUCCCAAAGAAAAUUUGUACCUACAACAAAAUGCUCCAUGUCACGUUGUGGAAAUUAUCCAUAUGUACUUAAAUACGCUGCACUUAUGUAUCCGAUACAGCAGAACUGUCACACUAUGUCUAAUGUUGAUUAGAGCAUUAUCUUGCCAAAGUCGACAAUCGUUGAGCAGAAUUUUGAUUCUGAAUAAGAGACACAAACGCACCUAGUUUGUGUCUCUUGAAUAACCACGCUCAACAAACUUAUACACUGUAGGUAGAUUCGCUCAUUCGGUACCUAAGUAAGUACAUAAAUCUUGUCCGGCCACUAUGCCAAUUUCUUUUGUCUAUGCAAAAUAUGCAAUGGAAUACAGCGGACGGCCUGAAGAGGUUUAACGGACUUUGUAACAUUAUUUAUAAGACUAUAAUUAGAAUAAAACAAAAUAUAUCA